rnacentral:rRNA from 1 species
AACGAACGCUGGCGGCAGGCCUAACACAUGCAAGUCGAGCGAGCAUUUCGGUGCUAGCGGCGGACGGCUGAGUACCGCGUGGGAACGUGCCCUUUUCUGCGGAAUAGUCCUGGGUAACUGAGGGUCAUACCGCUUACGCCCUUUUGGGGAAAGAUCUACCGGUGAAGGAUCGGCCUGGGUUGGUUUAGGCAGUUGGUGGGGUAAUGGCCCACCAAGCCGACGAUCCAUGGCUGGUUUGAGAGGAUGAUCAGCCACACUGGGACUGAGACACGGCCCAGACUCCGACGGGAGGGAGCAGUGGGGAAUCUUAGACAAUGGGGGCAACCCUGAUCUAGCCAUGCCGCGUGAGUGAGGAAGGCCUUAGGGUUGUAAAGCUCUUUCAGCUGGGAAGAGAAUGACGGUACCAGCAGAAGAAGCCCCGGCUAACUCCGUG